GGCCGUUGUUGUGGAGUGGUAACACUUGCGACUUUGACUCGUCAGGUCGUGAGUUCGAGACCUGUAUCGGUUU